rnacentral:misc_RNA from 1 species
UUUCCUUUUUUUUUUUUUUUUAAAAAAAUCAAUUCUUAUAUGCUUUUAAUGUAGGAUAAAUAUGCAACUUCCGCAAUGGUUUACACUUUUACAUUUGCCAGAUACAAGAUCCUGACUAAUCUUUCAGAAAUAAUAUAAAUCAGAUACAGCCAUAUACUUGAUGAGUUGAUGUCAUCUUCUUCGUUAAAAAUUUAUGUGUCAGGAUAUCCAUGGCAGAUAUCCAAAAUAUUAAUACAGUUGCCAAUGAAAGUAUAACAAAUUGCAGAACUUAUAGCAUUAUGAGACUUGUCUUUCAAUCUGAUUCGCCUUCAUAACUGAAUAUGAAUUUCAUUUGGAGUGAAAAAUUGACAGGAUUGGGCAAAAAAUGUAAAUUCCAUAGGCAAGCUAUGUACUUAUCAAGACUCGAAUAAACUAGCAUCGGCAAAAACUGGGGCAGGAAUGCAGGAUACUGGUUAAGUAUGUCUUUCCAGGAACUUCUCUAUCAAAACUGAGAAUGCAGCAAACCCAGCACAGCCAACACAAGCUGCUUUUGGACCACCUUUUGCAGACAUUGAACCUCCAGUUACACACCCUGCAACAACUGUAUUUGUAACAUCAUGUUUUGCCCGCGCCUUUUCAACAAUGCACUCCGAAGCUGAGAAAAUCAAACCCAUCACUGCAAAUGCCUUACAAGAACUCCAACUUCUUCGCCCCAUUUGCUUUGCAGUAUAAAUGAACUGCUCCCUUGCAGUCAUCUCUUCUUGCAUUAAUGGAUUAUCCAACGCACCUAGAAACAGACCCAUGAACAACCCUAGCCCACCUCCUACAAACAUUUCCAUAGCAAAAAAACAAACACAUUAAGUUAACUAAGCAACCAAGGAAAAGAAAUAGGAAAUGAAAGAGACUGUAUAGUUGAGAAGCAAAUGCAGAACAAGGAAUGUUAAAAAUUUAAAUCGUUUAUACAUGAAUAUUAGAGAAAAUUAAGGCGACAGAAAUACAUUUUUUUUUUAACUGAGAAAUGAAACUUGGUUUAUCUUCUUCAUAAGUCUUUCAUUUCCCCUCAUUCUCUCUUUCACAGACAACUCAUCCACACAUUCAAAUUCUAUCUAUUAUCCAACCACCUAAACCUCAAAUAAGAAUACCAAACAAAAUACUUAUACACCAAUGAAUUCUUCUUCAGUUUUGUUUAUUUGGGAGUCAAACAAAAUUAACCCAUUCUAUCAUUUAAAAUAAUAAUAAAAAAAAAGUAACUUAAGCUUAUGUUGCCAUAAUUGGGAAAUCAUUAGUCAUGACAAAUAAACCAACUCUCACCUGAGGUCAGAAUAAGCAAUUGCUUGGGUUGAAUAGGGACAAUCAUUUCGCCAAAAAAAAAGGAAUAUAUUAUUCAUCCCGACAGGGGAGUGAAAACUUCCUCACCUUAUUCUUUCCCCUAAUCAGUACGAUACAGAAAGAAACAUCUUUCUUAAAAUUAACUUGAAAGUAACUCAAAAUGGGAAAUAUUAGAAAUUAAACAAAACCAAAUGGGACGUAAAAUCCCAAAAAGGAGAGUACCAUAGUCUCACCCAUCACUCCACUUGCAACACUGCGAAUAGCACAAUUGUUCCAGACUUCUUGGGCACGAAUCUCUUCCAUUGUAGGCAUUCUAAAAGGCGGAAUCUGGGGCGUCUCAGGCUCAGCUUCCUUUGAGCUUGAAGCACCAUCAUUCGAUUCAAUCCCAGAACUUGCAGCCAUUGAUAAUCAACUUGAGCACCAAAGUGAGAAAUACAGAAUCACUACCAAAAAAAAGAAAAUAUUUAAUAACACAAUGCAAGAAGGGGCUGUCGAAUUGUGAGUCAUAGGCUUGUUUCGUGAAUUUAGGCGCUUCAAUGCAAACUUCCUUGCACUAGCAAUAUUUAAAAAUUUUCAAGUGAUCUACAAAUCCAAGCUUCAAGAAUAAGAGCAAUUUGCGUAGCCAAAACCCCAGAAAGAAAAAGAGAGUACCUUCACUAUAAGAGGGACUUCAGCAGAAGGGAGAAUUGAAAAUGUUGAGUUUUGUGAUUGGAAACGAAGAAAAGAAAAAACGGAAAGAAAAAUUACUAACAGAUGAAGAAUUGAUUGGAUUUUAUGAAAUAUAAAGAGAAGGAGGAGACUGGAAAUGAGACGGUAGGGCGGCGGCUUCAAAGUGGUGCGGCGGCUGAAGGACUUAAGCUGUUCGUGCACAGGGUUUUUAGCAGCAAAUUGUGAUCGAUUUGAGUGUGUACUCGACUUUAAAAUAAAACGACGUAGUUUAUUUGA